UACGUAGGGGGGCUAGCGUUAUCCGGAAUCAUUGGGCGUAAAGCGCGUGUAGGCGGUCCGGUAAGUCCGCUGUGAAAGUCGGGGGCUCAACCCUCGAAUGCCGGUGGAUACUGUCGGGCUAGAGUGCGGAAGAGGCGAGUGGAAUUCCUGGUGUAGCGGUGAAAUGCGCAGAUAUCAGGAGGAACACCAAUUGCGAAGGCAGCUCGCUGGGACGUAACUGACGCUGAGACGCGAAAGCGUGGGGAGCAAACAGG
rnacentral:rRNA from 1 species